AGUAUAAGUUAUGUUCUUUAAACCCAAAGAAUUUGGCGGUAUUUCAUUCUAUUCAGAGGAACCUGUUUUGUAAUUGAUAGUACACGAUUUACUUUACUUAAUUUAUUUGUUUGUAUAUCUCCGUUAUCAGAAAAUCUUUUUGGAGUUAAAAUUUUCUUGUUUUUAAUUAGAAUUUAUUUCAGGUCAAGGUGCAGCUUAUAAUUAAGUUUUUAAUGGGUUACAAUAAAUUUUUGUUUAUUAUGGAUUUAAUUUUGAAAAUUUUUAAUGAAGGUGGAUUUGAUAGUAAUUUAAUUUAUUUAAUUUAAUUGAUUUAGGCCCUGAAGUGUGU
rnacentral:rRNA from 1 species